rnacentral:rRNA from 1 species
UACGUAGGGUGCAAGCGUUAAUCGGAAUUACUGGGCGUAAAGCGUGCGCAGGCGGUUUUGUAAGUCUGUCGUGAAAUCCCCGGGCUCAACCUGGGAAUGGCGAUGGAGACUGCAAGGCUGGAAUCUGGCAGAGGGGGGUAGAAUUCCACGUGUAGCAGUGAAAUGCGUAGAGAUGUGGAGGAACACCGAUGGCGAAGGCAGCCCCCUGGGCUAAGAUUGACGCUCAUGCACGAAAGCGUGGGGAGCGAUCCGG